rnacentral:lncRNA from 1 species
CCCUAAUGACUACAUUUUGAUUUCUUAUGAUACAAUCUUUGUCAUCAGCCAGUCUUUUCAGAUUUUCUAACUGAUUAUUUCCUCUCUCUUGUCACGACCCGACCUAUAGGCCCGUGACCGGUACUAGCAAAUUGGUAGGCGUAAGGCCAUCUAAUCCCGUAGUAAGCCUGACCAUUCACUAAAUUAAAUCUCAUCUAAUAACACUAAUGUCACAAUUUAUCUUAACCAUUAAAUUCUACAUAUUUAAUUUGGUCUGCCAGUAUAAUUAGGCAAGACCCGAAACUACAUAAAAUUACAACUAAUAAGUCUAAAAUUUCUACUGCGGAGAAUCUAAAAUUUUUUCAAGUCAAACGUACCAAAAUCAAAUACAUGAACCUGAUGAUGAAAGGAGUCGGGCUGCUAGAUAACAACUGCGGAAAGACUAACAAUCACCUUAAAAGAAUAAAAUUGAGACUGUCAGUCUUGAGAGUGAGUUAAAAUCAUAUAUCCCAAAAAUGAAUAUAAACACUUCAAUUAAAUAAUUGCUCAAUUUAAAAUAAAAAUCCAUGUCAUGCUAUGCUUCUGUAAUAUAAAAUAAAAUAAAUUUUUAUUUCAUGCCACGGGACGGAGUACCUCAGCAGAAUUCUAAUCCCAACACUAACAUCUCGACUCUCUCAUUCUAACAGAACUGGCACCUAAAGAGCGAAGCUCGACCAGGGACCUUUACUCCGGCAAACACACUCUACUCAGCCGAGAGAGCAAUGCUCGACUGGGGCAAGUCCUAAUUUACCUUUUUAAAUUUAUCUUUAGCGCCCUUUUAUUAUCAGUCUCGGAUUCAUACAGAUGCAACUCAGCAAACAGUAUGUUCUACUGCCAUUCCAUCCAGAGUCAUCAUGCAAUAAUAAAUUCAGUGAUAAAGAACAUGAUAUAUAUGAAUAGUAAUUAAAUGAAUAAUUUAAACUUGCAAUCAAUUAAUCACAAUCGCAAUUUUAAAUUUGCGCACAACACGUACAUAACAGAUAUAUGACUUUAACUUACAGAUCUGACGACCUCUUAGCUCUGCUCCGAUGUCUCAAGUGGAGCGAGCCGAACUAACGGAUUAUCUAAUCACGGAAAAUAAUUAAUCAAUAACGUUGAAACAUUUGACAAUUAAUCCUAGGUCUAGACUCCUAGGACACUAAGAAUCUCGACUCUGAAGGAAACCGAAAAUCCUGCAGAACCUUCCUGAUUUACAGACGUUUACCCCCAUUAUAACGGGUCUAGGACCUGCCAAAAAACACUUGAAAAUGUACAGUGAUUAAUUAAUAGGAGUCGGGUUACCAAAACUGCAUUAAUUUUCUCGACUCCACAACACAACACACACGACUAUUGGUAGACAAUCCGACAUUUUAUUUUAAUUAACAAUAUUUCUAAGGCUCAUCUCAUUUCAAUAAUCACAUAAGUUUUGCCAAAAAAUUCUAAAAUCAACAGGCCAGAGAAUUACCGAGACGCUUGAUCGCUCGGUCAACUUGCCUCUAGCCACCGGGAGUCCGAUCGACGAUCCGAACGCACAACGGACUCGAAAUGACGCGCUGAUGAUCAUCUCCCUUCCGAUCUUCUGAUCCGACCCUUAAUCAUCCGGAGAGAUUUAUGGACGAUCUCGGUCGUCAAUUUUCAAACGGAGUCCAAUCGCCACGAAACCGGUGCCAUUGGAAAGCUUGAGCUGAAGGGAGUUUGGAUGUACCUUCUGAUUGGCCAAAGCUCAUCGGAGCUCGCUGGAAAAGCCAGAAAACACCGGCUGCCACUCAUUUUCUCUUUCCAUCGCGAACUUCCAAAUCCGGCCACCAUUUGUGUCACCACUGCCGCCAAAACGAAGCCCAGACCGAGGGGAGUCGAUCGCCACCAAAAAUAGUGGCUACCGAAACCGGAAACGCCAUGAACGGCGUCCAAAAAGGCUGCUGCUUUCCUCCCUUUUUGCCGCCUGCCGAAGUCCCCAACGCUGCCACCGUCGCCACCCUUGAGCUCGUCGGCGCUAGCUACACCUCCAGCCAGCUUCGCCGAGCCCUAGACGAACGCCUCCCUUGUCGACCAUGGAAGCCGACGUCCCCCCCUCUCUCUCUU